CCUCUCCACUUCUAACAAGAAGGCUCCCAGUGCAGGGAAGAGUCACAGAGACUAUGUAACCUUUGUGGUCUGGAACUGGCCCCAGGCUGUGUGGCCAGAGCAGACUCCAAGUUCCUGCUUAGGGGCUCAGUUUCUACAAGAGAGUUAGGAUGACAGAAGUGUCACAAGCAGAGGAAAAGGUGUCAAGUAGACCCUGGGACCCCACUCUCCCCAUUGUCUUUCUGGCCACUGUUCUCUUGUUAGCCUGUCUCAUCAGAGAGCCGUCUGGGUGGCUGAGGUCCUUUGCAGGUGACCCUCAGUAGCACCCUACUGCAUAAGCCAUGUGCAGGAUGCGCAUACAGACAUCUCUAAUACGUCUCUCCUCUUCACACGCAACGCAUGGGUGGGUUUGGCAGCAGGUCAGCCACGUGAGGGACUGCCCAACCGCUAAGGACUCUUUAAGGAGGCACACACACUCCACGUACAAACACACAUGUCGCAGAGGGAGGCCCGGCCUCUCCGUGAAUAAAUGAAAGCAUAUCUGCGUGUUGAGGAAAAAUCUUUAGCUAUGGUCUGAGCCAGCAGGAAUGUGCAUCUGUUCUUCAUUAGGACCAGGCCCCCGCGCCACCAGCUGCUGGGAGCCACGAACGUGGAACACUUCUGAAGCCUGGCUCCACUGGGAGCUUCCUGGGAAGGGCAGCCUCCCUCACAGAACGGCCCCCACUGGAGGCUGGAGGUUCUGCCCCAGACUUGGGCUGGGGAUAAGUUGUGACUUGCUGCUCUCUGGGUCCUCUCAUCACUGCUCAAUGUCUUUAGGAUUUCUCCUGGCUUGAGUGGGUGAGGCAGGCGCUGGAGUGGCUGAGCCUCAGAAGAAGCUGACAGACAUUCCAUCAGGGGAAGACAGUGCCACUUAGACUACUGUCAGCUCGAGACCCUUGUGUUCAUCCCGGAAGCCACUCUUGGCUGAAGUAGCACUGUCCUCCAGGAGCCCCCUAGAAAGGCUGUGGAUCCCCUGCUCACAGGUGCCCGUCAUGGCUCUGGAAACCAGGUUGCUUGGGCUGGAUUCCAGCCAGAGACGCUGCACACAUCUGAUCACGUGAGAGAAUGGGAGCCCGUCCGUGGGCUUGCCAGCCAGCGUUUCCCGUGAGUCAGAUGCCACAGAGGUGGGACAUGGGUCCCUGGCAGUGUGCUUUACAGGCUGUCUCCCAACAAGGUCUAUAAAGGUCCAUCUACCUGGAUACUGGGGCUGACCUUCAAACCACCCUUGGGUGUCAAAGGAGGGAGGCAUCUGUGGACAGGGGAGUGGACUUAGUCACACAAGAAGGCCAGGCACACAUUGAGAUUGAAGUGCCUCAGGGUCCAGGGUCAAGCACUUGGUGUCUUGAUCAGUGCAGGAUCUGCAACAGCUCCUCCUAAGUCCUCCCUACAGAGCUCCCCAUCGAUAGCAGCUGAGUCCGUAGCCCCGACAUCCAUGAGCUGCCUCUGGAGCUAUGGUGGCAAAGGAAACAAGGAGGAAUAGGAGCCCCAAGGCAAGUACGCCAUGCACACGGCGCCUCUGAGAAAAGCCUCCCAGUGAAGACCUAGUUCAGUUCACCAACCACCCUAUCUGUCCUGUUGCCUAAGCCGUGGGAAUCAUAGGUGCAGGCAGGUAGCAGGCUCCUCUCUGGGCAGGUCCCCAGAUCGCUUUGUGGGACGGGAUGCUCUGCUAAUAAUGAGAAGGACUGUGGACAUCCUGGCAUUUAACAAAAACGGAAGGAAGGGAAACCCAUCCCUCUGACAUUAGAAAGUUGAAUAUAUGAGAUCAGCUCUGGGUCCCACCCUUCCUGAGGGCUGUAUCUCCCAGGAGCUGCGAGGAACAGGAAGCCCCUGGCCAUCUGGGUUCUACAGCUUACAAUGAAAUGUGUUAUACAGGUACUAACUCAGCUCCAGGCACGAGCCCGUCUAGACGGCUCUGUGGGGGUAAGCCAUGCUUCAGAAACGACCCCCAUCCAGUAUCAGUCCAGCUGGCUCAACCACACUGUAAAUCCAGAAUUGGCAAGAACCCGGUAGAAGUCAGACCCUGAGAGGCACCUGGGGCAGAACCGUGUCCAGCCAGUUUCUGGGAUCACAGGCCUGACCAGAAAGACAUAGGCAGCAAUGUUGCUAAGAACAAAACUACACCGAGAAGAAUCCUGGGUAUGAGUCGCUCUGCUCAAAGCCAGGAUCUGUGUGUGAAGGUUCAGUUCUAAAUGAGAGUGGUCAUUUUCAGAGCUUGUGAUUAAAAAAAAAAAA